GGGGAAGUACUGUAAAAUCGAAUAGAUUAAAUUCGGAACUCGCGCCCUGUGUCUUUUCCAAUUUUUGAGCGCGUACGGGAGGUACAAACAUUGUCGGCCAGUGUAUCACAGCAGUCAUGUCGGAGUUUUCUUCUUAUACCGUUGCGGAAUUAAAUACGUAUUUGAAGACAGGGGUAUUUCUUUUCGUGGAAAUCGAACGACAGAGCUUGUGCAACUUGAUCUGACAUCUAAAGAACUUCAAAUAGCUGAAGAUCUGGAUGGAUUGUCUGAAAAUAAAGCACAACUGAUUUUGCAGAAACUCUUCAGGGGCGACUGUUAUUGAACAUCUGCUGAUCUGCAUGAAGGUCAAAACAAAAAUCAGUUGGUGCUUGGGUACUUCGCAUGGCGAGUCCUGACUCGGCGCCACACUUCAAUCGAACAUAUGAUGCAGGUUCCGGGUCAUUCACGGUGUUUGGUGGAUAGUGGGUUCGCCCAUAUUAAAAAGCUGUACAAACCCUCGGACUGUGACACCAUUCAGCAGCUAGAGGAUAUUGUCAACAAGUCGUCUACUGCAAAUGAGGCUGUCCGAUAUCCGACUUGGCGCUGGCGUGACUGGAAGACUUUCUUGUCUACAUCUUUUAAAGCAAUAUCCGGGAUAAGGAAGUACCAGUACUUCAGGUUCGACUCAUCGAGGCCCGGCACGGUUUUCGCGAAGAAAGCAACGGAUCUACCAGAGGAAGAGUUCUUCAUAAUGAAACAAAGGGACUCCAUCAGCAGAACCAUGCUUAAUUAAACCGGCAGGGCUUUCGGAGAAUCGCGUGAAAUAUCUUUACAGAACUGUCGACCAUGCUAUCAGGACAUUACCUGUCCAACACCCACAGACUGAUUGCAUGUGAUUACAUCAUGUAUUCGAACAUCAACCUAAAGAGUUAUUUUAAUCCAUGCGCGUGUUAAUGAAUUGUAAUAUUUGAAUAAGUGUUUGAUAUUACGAACUAUUUACAUGCUGUUAACGUCAUGAAUAUGUCAUUCCGAUUGAAAAUGACGCGACGUCAACAUCUUUGUUGCGUGACAGUAUGCGUAUAUAAUGUUGUCAUAGCAACGCUAAAUAGUGGCGUACACGUGUAAUUUAUACAUAAUUGGAUUCGUGGAUGAACGGACAAUAUGAAACUGAAAAAAUCUAAAAAUUGAUUUUUUUUGUCAUUAAUGCAGGUUUUGUCGUGGAACGGCUCAUAUAUAAUAAGAGUAAAUGUAUCUAACCAUGAUUUCAUAAAUGUAUUGAACAACACAAUGCGACAGCAUGAAAGAUCAAACAAUUCACACAUAUAUCUUUGUGGUUGCCAGCAAGAAGCGUCCAUCUAUGAUAAAACACCUUUUAUUUGAUGAAAAUCCACCAAGUGUGUCCAAAACAGCUAACAGUUUCACAAAUAUGACCCCAAAAUCGAAGUGUGUUUUUCCGGACAUCCAAAUGUCACUUAUGACGGAAGGCGAUUUUUUGUCGAUUUUUCACAAUUAACUUUGCUAUAAACUUAUUCAAAGCUCUGUUAUGAUAUAUUUCAUUUAACUUCAUAUAACAUUAAUUUCCAUCCUACAGAUUUUGUUGCCAUCCAAUCAAAGGUGAAACCAAGAACAAAUGAUAAGGACCCUUUGACCAAGAAAGGCUUCUACAGAUGUUGGAUAAUACUAAAGAUAAGUUCUGAUGCUUGCAUACAUUCUGACUACUGUACUUGCAAAGGAGGGUAUGAGCAACAAUAAAAUUACAAUUAGGAGGAAGAUACAAACUAAUUUUGUGUAUGUGCAUUAUGGACUACACAAAAAGUACUACUAUGAUGUACUGCUUAAAGCAGCACAUGAUUAUGGCAUUUUGUUUCUUGUAUGACAAUUUGUUUCUUAAAUGUUACGUCUUUAAGUAUUUAGACGGCUUACCAAACUCAGCUCUUGACUUCUCUUUUUAUAUGUAUGACUUUUUCUUCGGACAGUUACUUUGAUAAAUUAUUAAAGCUGUUGUUUUUAAAUGAACCGUAUUUGCCUCUUAACAGCUAACAGUUUUAAAGUGUAAAUUUUUUUUUAAAAAGGGUAUAUCCUUUUAAAGACAAAUAAGAAAGCAUUUAAUAUAUCUUUACCAUAUUUAUAAUAUAAUGAUAUAUUACUUUUUCAGAAUCGACUGAUACUGUCGCCACGUGGUUGCCAGAUUAUUUGAGAUUAAUUACUACCAGAAUGACUCUGAGAAGAGAAGCCGUACAUCACAUGCUUGCAGUUGGGUUCGGAGAUCAGGCUGAGAACAUUGGAAACCCUCUCCAGUAGCAGACCUUGACACUUCAGUACUGCCAGCAAAUCGUUUCACUCCAAAAUCUUUAUACACUCCACUACCAGAACAAGCCUGCACGCCAGCCCCAGCUGUCUAUAUGGAUAAACUGAAAACACUUUGCCCUUCAGCUUGUGGCCUGAGAUUGAAGUACAUCUACCCAGAUGAAGGUCAAAGUCCCCCUUCAUUGACGGUUGAAACAUCAGUGGAAAAGAUUCGACGGUUCAAUUCACAGCAUGUGUGUUGUAAUCACAACUGUUCUUGUGCAAAUCUUUUGAUUUAUUAUUAUUUAUGUUACACUAAUAUUCAGCAAGAAGAGAUUGAAAAGUGCACCCGUGGUCAGUCAACAAAAAUACAUUGGCGUGACAUGAGGUUUGUUAACAUCUUCAAAAUGUAAUCAUAUCUGCUGCUCUACAGACUCAGUUAAAACUGCAACCCUUCUUUCGAAAGGGGCCUCACUGAAUGAUAACUGCUCACCAGCCGCAAUUUUGUUUGGUAGACGAUACGAAUCAAAGGCAAGGGAACUUUUUUAAAGGGUACCAUUUCGACAUCGUCACUGUUCCGUUGAUGUACCUAGGCUUGAAAUUACUAGCCAAACACCCUUUUAAUAAUGUUCUCCUGAUGGAAUUGUAAAGUGUAGCAUGUGUGGAAGAUUUUUUAUUGAAGUGAAAUGUUUCUUGUAAUACAAAUGCUUCCAUCCAAAUAAUGCCCUUAGUCUGUCUAACAUAUGCUCAAAAGAUGAAAAUGGAAAGCUUCACUUGAAACGUUCUCAUAAGUUACGUAUUAUGACAAAAUUCAGGGGCAAAUGACCAUCACUGAAAAAGUGUACUGGUAUGUUACACACACAAAUAAAUUUCUACUGUGGAUGUUGAAUUUGAUGAUGAAUUCUGAAAGUUGUCUUUGAAUAAAAUGUCACAGUUCUAUACAUAGUGUAUUUUCCCAUUUUAAAAACGUUUUGAUUAAGUAAAAAGGUGUCACUGUUAUCUAUUUGCUAGCAUAGAUGUUCUGAAUUGUGUUAGAACAGUGUGUCUUAAUAUUAUUAGUUAUAUUGACUCAGAGAUGAAAAACAACAAUAUGCAUGUAUUCAUAUAGAGAAUAAAUAGCACAUUACUAAUAAA